ensembl:lncRNA
UUUUUUAAGAGUGCAGUCAUACAGAAAUCACCAGACUCUUCAAAAAAAUGAAUGCAACAAAUAACUUGGAAACACAACCCUAAUGACCAUAUUUAAAAAAAUUUUUUCCCCGUAAGAUACAUAUGAGAAAAACUACAAUGUUUUAAGAUCUGUAAACAGUUUCUUUUGUUGGCGGAUGUUCAUUCUGGAAAUUGUAAAAUAUUUCACUGCAAGCUUAGAAGUUUUAACUUUUCUUACUUUGCCAUCUUUCUCUCCCCAGAUAUUGAUACGAGACCAUGAAGACCUAAGCCAAGCUCUAUUUUCAGAUGUGAUAGAAUGCAUAGAUGAAGAAACUGAGGCACUGAAUGAUGAAAGAAGUUUGUUCAAGGACAUAACCAUAUAAUUUGGAGAACUGGGGGCAAUCUGGGAAGGAAGUAUGAGCGAAGGGAGGACAAGAAAAGAGAAAAGGAAAUAAGGGCAAGAAUACUGGGAUUCUCCAGUAUGCCUGGAGAAUUCCAUGGGCAGAGGAGCCUGGCAGGCUAUAGUCCAUGGGGUUGCAAAGAGUCAGAUGUGACUGAGCAACGAUGCACACACACACACACACACACACACACAUAUUCAUAUAGUUAUUCCUUUUCAGAUUCUUUUAUCAUACAGGUUAUCACAGAAUAUUGAGUAGAGUUCCCCGUGCUAUAUAGCAGGUCCUUGUUGGUUGCCUAUUUUAUACAACAGUAUAUGUAGGUUAGUCAAAAUCUCCUGGCUUAUCUGU